AAAAGAAAACCAGACGUACUCGAGAGCUUCAGCUCCAUCACCCCCACAACCAUCUCUCUCUCUCUCUCUCUCUCUCUCAAAGCGGGCUUGCUGCCACCCGCAAUCAUGGGCACACUGGAGCAGCCACCGCCACCCACCGCCGCCGCCGCCAGACCAUUCGAACUCGACGGAACCGUUGACAAGGACGACCUCUCGCCCAUCGAGGAGGUCCGCCUUACCGUGUCCAACGCCGACGACCCGAGCUUGCCCGUCUGGACCUUCCGCAUGUGGUUCUUGGGCCUCCUCUCGUGUGCCCUCCUCUCUUUCCUCAACCAGUUCUUCGCCUACCGGACGGAGCCUCUCGUCAUCACCCAGAUCACCGUCCAGGUCGCCACGCUCCCCAUCGGGCGCUUCAUGGCCGCGGUACUGCCCGAGGCCAAGUUCCAGAUCCCCGGGCUCGGCCCCCGGCUCUUCUCGCUCAACCCGGGCCCCUUCAACAUGAAGGAGCACGUGCUUAUCUCCAUAUUCGCCAAUGCCGGGAGCGCGUUCGGAUCCGGGUCGGCUUACGGGGUCGGGAUAGUGAACAUCAUCAAGGCGUUUUAUCACCGGGGCAUUUCCUUCUUCGCCGGGUGGCUUCUUAUCAUCACGACGCAGGUGUUGGGAUACGGAUGGGCGGGGCUGUUGAGGAAAUACGUGGUGGAACCAUCUCACAUGUGGUGGCCGGGUACCCUCGUCCAGGUCUCCUUGUUCCGGGCUUUACAUGAGACGGAUGAACAGCGCAUGUCGCGGGCAAAAUUCUUCCUCAUUGCACUGAUCUGCAGCUUCACAUGGUAUGCUGUCCCUGGAUAUCUCUUUUCCACGCUCACAAAUAUAUCAUGGGUCUGCUGGGCGUUCUCCAACUCAGUCACCGCCCAGCAGAUCGGUUCAGGUAUGCGAGGCCUUGGACUUGGAGCCUUGACGCUCGACUGGACAGCAGUGGCAUCGUUCCUGUUCAGCCCCUUAAUCUGCCCCUUUUUGCCAUAGUUAAUGUUUUCGUGGGAUAUGCAUUGAUAAUCUAUGUCGUAAUCCCCACAGCCUAUUGGGGAUUUAACGUGUAUAGUGCAAAUAGAUUCCCCAUUUUCUCCUCGCACUUGUUCACGGCGCAAGGUCAAAAGUACAAUAUAACGGCAAUCGUAAAUGACAAGUUCGAGUUGGACAUCCCAAAGUAUGAGGAGCAAGGUCGAAUUCAUUUAAGCAUGUUCUUUGCUCUCACCUAUGGCUUUGGUUUUGCCACCAUUGCAUCAACACUAACUCACGUGGCCUUCUUCUACGGCAGAGAAAUCUAUGAGCGCUAUCGUGCUUCUCACGAAGGGACGGCAGAUAUCCACACAAAAUUGAUGAGGAGAUAUAAAGACAUACCCUCAUGGUGGUUUCACUUGUUGCUUGUUGUAAAUCUGGUUGUAUCUCUUCUUCUAUGCAUCGUAAUGAAUGAUCAGGUCCAAAUGCCAUGGUGGGGGCUUCUCUUUGCUAGUGCCCUUGCAUUUGUAUUCACCCUUCCCAUUAGUAUCAUCACUGCCACAACAAAUCAGACACCGGGAUUAAAUAUAAUCACAGAAUACAUAAUGGGCGUAAUAUUGCCAGGAAGACCUAUAGCAAAUGUUUGCUUCAAAACAUAUGGAUAUAUUAGCAUGGCUCAGGCUGUUUCCUUUCUUAGUGAUUUUAAGCUGGGACACUACAUGAAGAUACCUCCAAGAUCGAUGUUCCUAGUUCAGUUCAUAGGUACAAUUCUUGCUGGAACCAUAAACAUUGCAGUGGCAUGGUGGCUGCUAAACUCUGUUACCAACAUAUGCCAAGAUGAUCUCCUUCCACCGGAUAGUCCCUGGACAUGUCCAGGUGAUCGGGUUUUUUUCGAUGCAUCUGUUAUAUGGGGGUUGGUUGGACCUAGGCGGAUCUUUGGAACACUCGGUAACUAUCGACAAAUGAACUGGUUUUUCCUUGGAGGUGCAAUAGGACCUAUCAUAGUAUGGCUACUACACAAGGCGUUUCCCAAGCAAUCUUGGAUUCCUCUCAUUAAUCUUCCAGUCUUAUUAGGGGCGACAGGAAUGAUGCCACCAGCUACACCAUUAAACUACAAUGCCUGGGUUCUAGCUGGAGUAAUAUUCAAUUUCUUCAUCUUCCGAUACCGAAAGCAAUGGUGGCAGAGAUACAACUAUGUUCUCUCGGCAGCCCUGGACGCAGGAACGGCAUUCAUGGCCGUGCUUUUAUAUUUUUCGGUGGGGAUGGAGAAUAGAAGCAUUACUUGGUGGGGAACAAAUGGAGAGCACUGUGAACUAGCAGCGUGUCCAACAGCCAAAGGCAUAGAGGUUGAUGGUUGCCCAGUCAACUGAUACAUGAAGCUCUUUCUAGAUGUAUUACUUACAGGAAAAAAGUUAGCCUUGAUCAGUGUGGUUCUACAUUAGUUGUACAGACUAUUCCAUUCACUCGACAGUUUUAGGCGUUUCAACAAUUCUGUUUUCUUUUAGUGGUGUCAGAUUUGAUGAUUGUGAUUUAUCAAGAUAAUAGUAUGUUACUUGUAAGAAAUAAGAUUGUAUUAUGUGGUAAGGAAUCGCCAAGUAACCCUGUCA